AAUGGCCAUUGGAAGGGCCAUCCAUCUUAGGAUACUAAGUCAGCAGCAAAUAAAACUCUAGGCAAGCAGCCCAGUCUACCAUAAAUUAAAUCCACAUGUAAAUUAUAAUCAUUGUUUAAGCCAGAAACUUAUAAAAGAUAUUUGCCUGAUAAGAAAGUCUGUUUUAAGUACAUGCUUAUGUGGGGGAAAAUGCAAAUAGUAAUAUAAUAGCAUAUAAAGUUAAAAAGUGGACAUCUCCUUCUUUAUUGUCUCCCUCCCUUUGAAACUAUGCCCAUACCCACAUUCUCUGUCUUCAUAGGAAUAACCCUGUUCAUCCCUACUGAUUCCCUGUAUUGUGAUCAAGAUGGUUAAUUGUUUUAGGGUAUAAUAAAUUGGGGAUAUAGUC
rnacentral:lncRNA from 1 species